UACGUAGGGUGCGAGCAUUAAUCGGAAUUACUGGGCGUAAAGCGUGCGCAGGCGGUGAUGUAAGACAGAUGUGAAAUCCCCGGGCUCAACCUGGGAACUGCAUUUGUGACUGCAUCGCUGGAGUGCGGCAGAGGGGGAUGGAAUUCCGCGUGUAGCAGUGAAAUGCGUAGAGAUGUGGAGGAACACCGAUGGCGAAGGCAGCCUCCUGGGCCAGCACUGACGCUCAUGCACGAAAGCGUGGGGAGCAAACAGG
rnacentral:rRNA from 1 species